AGACUCUACCCCAGACACAGAUUGCAGAGCAACAGGAUUGCCUAAUUCUGGGCAACAUUAAGGUAUCUGAAGUGAGUCUUGGCAAUGUUCUAAUAUUUAUAGUGUUUUAUUUUGUUUUAUAUUUUGUUAUUUCAUAGAAGCCUAUUCUUUUCUGAGAGACAGAAAGGAAGAGGAUCAAUAUGGGAGAGAAAGUAGGAAGGAACUAGAAGUAGGGGGAAGGAAACUGUAUUCAGAUUAUACAGUAUUAGAAAAUAAUCUAUGUUCAAUAAAAAAGAAAAAAGGGGGCAUGGGGGAAAAUUAGUCUUUGAGAACUUUCAGAAUGAGACGAAAAGUGUUGCUAAGUAGCCCUUCUCUGCUUCUGUUUUAGUGUAAUGUCAUUAUGAACAUUAAUAUUCAUUAAUAUUAGCAGUAACUAUGUAUAAGGACAUAUUUUAACAAAAUCAGAGUGAAUUAAAAUACAGAAGUUUGCUCUCUGACUUUCUUGACUGUUGCUCCCAACUCUGAUGUAAACCUUGUCUCCCACCUUUUAAUUUUCAUUGUCUCAGUCAAUGUUUUGGAAAUUUAGUUUAUUUCAUGUCUAUGAUGCUUCUGCAUGUGUAUUUGUUCACUAUUUGCAUGGGUGCUACCCACAGAAAUAAGAAGGUGAUACAUUUCAUGAGACUGGCAUCCAGAUGGUUGUGAGGAGUCUUUUUUUUUUCUCUAGGAAUGAAACCUGUGUUCUUCUGAAUAGCAGCAAGUGUUCCUAAAUCUACAGCAACCUCUUGAACCUCAGACCUACUUAGUUGUAACUCCAUAUUUUCUGUUACUCUCAGCAGAAGUCCGUGUGGUGUGGAAACAUGACAAAUGAAUUCUGAGAGUUCUGGAGCACCAGAAAAGGGAAGCACAAUCACUUCUUUUAGGUGUAUGGCUAUACCUUUGGUAUUUGGGAUGCAGGAGUCUAGUCUCUGGCCCUCUUUUCUCUUACCCACAUUCAGUUGUACCUAUGCACUUCUGUAACUAUUACUAAUAUUGAUCUGUUUGGGUGACAAGAGAAGCGUGUUAUCAUUUCCUCUAUUGGAAAUGUUUACAGGAAUAGCCUUGAGUGCAUUGACACUUGCUGAGCCCAACACCAACAGCCCAGGCACUAAGAUCAACAAUUAUAAGUGGGACUUCAUGGAACUGAAAUGCUUCUCUGUAAGGCAUUUUGACAGUGUUAAUUGGACAAGAUGGCAGCCUAUUGAAAUGCAGGUGUUUCACCAACCCAACAUCUGACAAAAGACUAAUUCACAAAAUAUAUAAGGAACUCAAGAAUCUAGACAUUAUCAAACCAAAUAAACCAAUUUAAACUGGGGUAUAGACCUGAACAGAAAACUCUGAAUAGAGGAAUCUCAAAUAUCUGAGAAACAUUUAAAGAAGUGUUUAACAUUCUUGGUCAUCAGGAAAAUGCAAAUCAAAAUGACUCCAAGAUUCCAUCUUAUACCUUUCAGAGUGGCUAAGAUAAAAAACACAAGUGGGAGCUCAUGCAGGUAAGGCUGUGGAGCAAAUACACUCCUCCAUUGCUGGUGGAAAUGCUAAUUUGUAUAGCCACCUUGGAAAUCAAUAUGAUGGUUUUUCAGAUAAUUGAAAAUCCAUCUACCUCAAGACCCAGCUAUCCCACGCCUGGACAUAUACACAAAGGAAAAUCCAUUGUAACACAAGAACAUUUGCUUAAAUAUGUUCAUAGCAGCUUUAGUCAUAAUACUCAGAAACAGAAAAACUAGAUGACCCUCAACAGAAGGAUGGGUAAAGAAAAUUGGCACAUUUACACAAUAGAGCAUUACUAGGUUGAAAUAAAAGAAUAAUAUCAUGAAUCUUGCAGGCAAAUGUAUAGAAGUAUUUUUCCUUAGUGAAGUAACCCAGUCCCAGAAAUUUAUACAUGGAAUCAACUCACUUGAAAGUGGCUAUUAGCUGUAAUGCAAAGGAUAGUCAUACAACAAACCCAUAGGAUUAAUACCAAGGAGAGCUCAAGUGUAGAAUGCAGGGAUCUCUCCAGCAAAGGACAAUAGAAUAGAUUUCCUGGGAACUGGGGGCAGGUGGGGCUGGAUAAAGCAAAGAGGAGGGAACAUAAUGGGAGGAGAGAGUACUGGGAGAGAUCACUGGAAUUUAGAAUCAUUUCAGGAAUUAAAAAGAACUCCAGUGCAAUGGAAACUCCCUGGAAUCUACAAGGGGAAUCCUAGCAAAAACCCUUAGUAGGGGUAUGGAGCCUGAACUGGCCCUCUUCUGUAACCAGGCAUGGCUUCCAGUGGAGGGAUUGGAACACCAACCCAGCCACAGAAACUUCAACCUACAAUCUAUCCACAUGGAAGGAGUCCUAGAGUAAUGAUCACACAGAAAUUGUGAGAGUGGACAAGUGUCUCAUACAACCUGAGACCCAUGCCUCAAUUAGGAGCCCAUAGGAACCAGAGGAUGGAUAGUCCAGAGAAUUAAGAGAGAAGCAAACACAACUGGAAAAAAAAGGUCAAUGGAGUGAUUCCUAAUGAUUCUCUACUAUACUUGUAGACAGGAGCCUAGCAUAAUCAUCACCAGAGAAGCUUCAUCCAGCACUGGAUGGGAGCAGAUGAAGAGACCUACAGCCACAUAUUAGGCAGAAGUCAGAGAAUCCUGUAAAAGAGGAGGAGGAAGGAUUUUAGAAGGUAGAAGUAUUAAGGACACCGCAAGUACAGGGCUCACAGAAUCAACUAACCUAACCUAGUCCCAUGGAGGCUCAAAGAGCCUAAACAAGGAGCCCAAAUCAGUUCAGACUCUAGACCCCGUGCAUGUGUGCAUGUGCAUAUGCAUAGAUAGAUACAUAGAUAGAUAGACAUAUAGAUAUAGAUAUAGAUGUAGAUGUAGAUAUAGAUAUAGGUAUAGAUAUAAGUAUAGAUAUAGAUAGACAUAAAAAAUGGUUGAGUAGCUUGGUAUUCUGGUGGGAUUCCUAACAGUAGGAGGAGGGUCUGUCUCUGCUGUGGAUUGCCAUUUGUAUGUUCUGUUCUCUCAAGUGUGCCCAUACCAAGGAGCUGACAGUCAGGUGAAACCUUAAUUAGUGAGAUAAGGCUAAAGGCUGGGAUUGGGAAGUAGAAGGAGAGAGAGGACCUGAAAGUUUUAGAAAAGGGGGAGUCUGGGACAGGGAGAGGGAGAGAGGAAACAGGGGAUGAAGAAAAAAUAGGUGAAAAAGAUGAACCAGAACCACAUGGCCUGAAAGAGGCACUGGUAGCUAUGGAUAUCUUACAGGGGCAAUAGAGUAAUGUAGGUUACAUUUGCUCCAUCUAGGAAUAUAGCUUGUAUUUAUAUCAAUAAAGUUUUGAGUUCUAUGUAUGGGGAUUUUGGGGGUUGAGGAUUUACUUCUAUAAAUCUGGCUGUUUGCCAGGCAGUGGUGGUGCACACCUUUGAUCCCAGCACUUAGGAGGCAGUGGCAGGUGGAUCUCUGAGUUCGAGGACAGCCUGGUCUACAGAGUGAGUUCCAGGACAGCCAGAGCUACACAAAGAAACCCAAUCUCAAAACAACAAC
rnacentral:lncRNA from 1 species